GGACGCGGAAGUGGAGGCCUGUGGCCUGAGGGGCGUUGACCGGCCGCCGGGCCGUAGCGCGCUGAGCCUAGGGCCCGGGACCUGAGGUACCUUCGCGGAGCGCGAGGAGCGCGGGGCGGCGGAGGCUUCCGAGGAAAGGCCGCGCGCGACGGCGGACCCGCGCCUCCCGCCCCGAGGCCGGCAUCCCUGGCCGGACCCGAGGGGCCUGGCGCUUGGGUAGGGCCGGCCGCGGGCUGCUCGCGGGCCGCUUGCAGUUACCUCCGGGAUCCUUUUGGGCCACCGAGGCGCCGGGAGGAAAGGGUUCUGGGGACGGUGCCCCCAGCUUCCAGCCCCAUCAGUUACAGCUUUACCAUAUUCGCUGUCAGAUGCGGGGAGCGAUGCACUCGGGCUCCUGGCCCCUGAGCCACGCCGAGGAGUCGUCAGGAGCAUCUCGGGACGAGGAAGCCUCCAGCAUCAGCAUCGGGUGCAAGGACAACAGCCUUACAGAUUCUGCUUAACCUGCUCCUGCGAUUGCCUGAGGUCCAGACUCUGUAACAGAACACACCCAUCUAGGGAUUCUGCUUCUCUGAUGGAACCUUAGCUGAUACGCAGAAGUGGACAGCCCAGUGUUGGAAUGGAGGACGCACCUUGUCUUUCAGUUCAGCCAUCCUUGCCACAAGCGCUUCCAUCCUCAGGAUCACAAGAGAAAUGCAUUGUAAGUAGCCAUGGAAACACCACAUUAGUAGGACUAUCCUGCAAAGAGGAGAACAUUACACAUUUUUGCGUUAUCAACUCUCAGAAGCCUGCUAUGCCCAGUGUUCUAACUUCAUCAUUUAUCUGGAAAAUGUUCUGAAGAUGGACACUUGGGCUUCUACCACCUUUUGGGUAUUGUGAAUAAUACUGCUACGAACAUGGGUGUACAAACCUCUCUCCAAGUCCCUGUUUUCAGUUCUUCUGGGCACAGAUAUAUACCUAAAAGUGGAGUUCCUGGAUCAUAUGCUUCAAGGGGCAGAAGACAUGGCUUAGGAGCUGCCCAGGGUGCGGUGUUUAAUAGGAGACCCCAUCAUUAAAGCUGGACUACCCCUUCCCCCAGAGGCUACCCAUGCAAAAUUGAGUUAGAAUUUAUCUUGACACCCAGUGGACACCAAAGAAAAUUACCUGAUUGAAACUGAAUGCUGAGUAAAGGAAAGAAAGUGUCCCCUUUGAAACCAUGUCUAUACCCAUCUCUUCCUCACACUGUUUUGCAGGCAAAAUUUAGUCUAACUGAAAUCUCUGAAAAAUUCUCAAGCCUAUAAUUUGAUUUAAAGUGAUCUUGGGUUGGUCAUACCUGCUGGCAUCUGGCAAACAGAAACCCAAACCUUCUUUGGAGGAUUUCUCUGAAGGAACCCACCUUCAAACUAAACCUCAAAAAAUUCCUUUGGAAAAACUUCCAGAAGAUCCUAAUUUAUAUAAGAAAUACCAAACUAAUAAUGAAGCAAGUGACCAUGACUGAGAGGCAGCAGAAACUAAGGACAUCAGUAUGAAACAUGAAAAGAUUUCAGAUACUGGAAUUGUCAAAGACAGACUGUAAAAGAGUCAUAUCUAAAGAAAUAAAUAAGAGGUUAAACUUAUGAGCAAGGGAAAAGAAACUGUGAAAAUGAUCAAGCAGAUCUGAAAAAGUCAAAUAAAACUUCCUAUAGAAAUAAAAAAUAUCAUAAAUGAAAUUUUAAAACUCACUGUCUGAAGUUAACAGCAAAUAAGACCCAGCAGAAGAGAGAAUUAGUGAGCAAGAAAAUAGAUAUAAAUAAAUGCUGGACUACAUUACAGAGGCUUAAAAGAGAUAGACAAUCUUUAAUCAGAGACCCAGAAGGAGAAGAGAGAAUGAAGAGGGAGACGGGAGAGUCGAUGUUUGAAGGGAUGGAUGGUGGAUAAGAAAAUGACCAGAAUUGAUGAAAGAUACCAGUGCUGAGGUUCAGGAAGUCAGAGUUCCUAAAAGGAUGUGUAAGAAGGAAUACCUACCAGGACACAUCAUGAAAAUGUAGAACAGUUAAAGUCAAAGUCAAGAUCUUAAAUGAAGCCGUAGAGAAAAGACAGAUCACCUAGAAAGAAGCUGCUGUUCAGACGGAUGCCUAACUUCUCACCAGCAGCAGGAGAAGCCAGAAGUCAGUGAAAUCAUAUCUUCGACAUGUUAAGGAAAAAUAUUAGUUAAUUUAGAUGAUUAACUGGGUCUUGAAGGAGGAGUAGGUAGCUUAGGUCUCAUGUUUUCUCAAGGGCUCAGUCUCCCCUGGGCUUCUGCUCCUUCAAAGCAAUCAUAUUUCAGUGAGUGCCCCUGGCCCCGAUGGUUCUUAUCAAAGGUUCGAUGAGGGGUGUGCCCCUCUGCUGGUUUCCCUGGUAACCAAUGAGCCAACCCCUGUAACUGGUAACCUCCUGCUCCCCCAGGAACAAAGACUGCUGCCACGUCCUGCCCACAGUCUGCCACACACAGUGGGAUGUACUUCCAGGACCUUGCCUCGGGCAUGUAAGCUCCUCCAUCCAUUAAACCAUCGAUGUCUCUGUCGCUGACUCUGGGCUCCUCCUUCCGUCUUGAGGCUGGGCAGGCCUGCGGGGUGUAGCCCAACAUGAGGGAAGAGCCUUAUUGAUCCUGGUCUGAUUCAUUAGGAGUCAUUUGGAUCCACAAGGGUGGGGAAGCACGUGCUUCUUACUGCAUUUUUAUCUUUGUAAACAUACCAUAGAACACCAGUUCACAGACUGAUAGGUAAAUGCUGUGGACUGAAUGUUUUGUGUGUCCCCUCCCCAAAUUCAUGUGUUGAAAUCCCAAUGCCCCAUGUGAUGGCAUUAGUAUGUGGGGCCUUUGGGAGAUGCUUAGGUCAUGAGGGUGGAGCCCUCAUGAGUGGAAUUAGGGCCCUUAUAAGGAGACCCCAUAGAGUACCCUUGCCCAUUACACCAUGUGAAGACACAGGGAGAAGAUGUGGGCUGUGAACCAGCACGAGGGCCGUCACCAGCAUGAGACCACGCGGGCAGCUUGAUCUUGGACUUCCCACCCUCCAGAACUGUGAGAAAUAAACUUCUGUUGUUCAUAAGCUAUGCAAUCUGUGGCAUUUUGUUACAGCAGCCUGAAUGGACUAAGACAGUAAAUAAGAAAGAACUUAAUUUUUGUUUGAUUUGAUGCAAUAAAUUUGGAAGCUGAUUUUUUGUUGUUUUAAAUGUAAAGUAAAACCUGGUAUGUGACUGAAUUCAGGUUAAGUAGAAAAUCAAAAUCAUUUCUUUCAAAAUCUCAACUCUCAUUUCCAUCUGAAACUUUUUAUCAAGUCAAUCUAGGCACAUGUUUAUGGAAAAGUUUAAUAGUUAUACUGACAACUGCCACGUCCCAACUCUAAGCCACACUACUU